AUUCAGUAUCCUAAGCCGAACAAUGGUUAACAUGAGCUAUCACCAAUCUCAACUAAAAUAUAUACACAGUCCGAACCCAAGACAGUCGAGAAAGCGAAAUACUAAAAGAAAAAGGACUUGUUGGGACAAAUUAUCGCCAACGACCAAUUGCCAGACUUGAUCAUAAGAGGCUUUCAGAAGUCCUGGUCCAACGCGUUCCAGCGUGUGGAAGACUCAUCGGUGUCGACUGAGUAACGGAGCGAAAGAUGACUGCCGAGUGGCUUCACCUGCCCCCUCCGUACCCCCCAGGUGUGGGACCGCUGUGUGGUGCAGAGUUGGAGGCGUGGUAUGAGGACCUGCAGGAUAUACUGGGAUCAGACGGGGGCGGGGCCAAACUGGCGCGUGCCCCUCCCUGCUCUGAGAAGGAGCCGGAGUUCCUAGAUGUUCUGGAGAGCUGUUCCCUGACAUGGCUGACAGACGGGGUGGGAGUGGGUGUCGGGGGCGAGGCGUGGGACGGAGGUGAGGGGGUCCAGAGGGUCACGAUCCCAGAGGAGCCUCCUACCCAUCCACCCCACCACACCUCCUCCAACACCUCCCGUCCGAGUCCAGCUGAGGAAAGGGCGGAGAGGCAAGGGGACAGGGAGGGAGGGAGGGAUGGAGAAAGAGGUGGCUCAGGAGGAGGGGGCCUGUUGCCCCCAGAGUUCUUUGAGUUGCUGAACGAGGGAGGGGUGGGCAUGGUGGAGACCGGAGGGGUGGGCAUGGUGGAGACUGGAGGGGUGGGCAUGGUGGAGACCGGAGGGGUCAUGGUGGAGACAGGAGGGGUCAUGGUGAGCGGUAGCCACCACCAUCAUCAUCAUCAGCUUCAUCAUCACUCUGACAAUGUCCAACAACCUGAGUCUCCCUCCGCCAGCGAGGAGGAAAACACCUGUGUCCCCGACUCUCCCUCCUGCUCUUCCUCCUGCUCUUCCUCCGCCUCUCCGUCUACCUCUCUCAACUGCUCUCCUCCUUCCUCUCCUACUAGCACCUCGUUCUCCUCGUCUCGGCAGGACAAACGCAAGAGGGGCAACUCUCUGUCCUUCCCUUCCUCCGGCUCACACUCAUCCUCCUCUUCUGCAAAGAAGAGCAGGAGAGAGAGGGAGCAGGAGAACGAGAGGAAGGUGCAGGAGCUGACAGAUCAGAACGAGAGGUUGAAAGCGGAGAUAGACAGACUGGGAGAGGAGGUGAAGAGGACACGUCGAGCCCUGAUAGAGAGACUAGUUAACACCAGGAAGUGAGGGAGGAAGGAAGUAACAACGCAGAACAUGAGCAUUUGGAAUAGCAGGUUGGCGAGGAAGGUUUUAAAACGGUAGUGACUUUGAAAUGCAUUUUCUAGACAGCAUUAAGAGAGAAACCUUUUCUAGACAGCAUUAAGAGAGAAACCUUUUCUAGACAGCAUUAAGAGAGAAACCUUUUCUAGACAGCAUUAAGAGAGAAACCUUUUCUGGACAGCAUUAAGAGAGAAACCUUUUCUAGACAGCAUUAAGAGAGAAACCUUUUCUAGACAGCAUUAAGAGAGAAACCUUUUCUAGACAGCAUUAAGAGAGAAACCAAAAUAUAUGUUGUAAGAAGAAAGUUAAAUGAUAAUUUUCUGAAAAACUGUAUGAGAAAGUAAGAAGGAAAAAGGGGUAGAUAAUGAAAGAGCAAGUCAAAGGAACAGCACGGAGAGAAAGAAUGGUGGCAGACAGACGGACAUACAGGGUGUAAAGUAAUGGAGGAAGAGGACCAGACAGACAGACAUACAGGGUGUAAAGUAAUGGAGGAAGAGGUCCAGACAGACGGACAUACAGGGUGUAAAGUAAUGGAGGAAGAGGUCCAGACAGACGGACAUACAGGGUGUAAAGUAAUGGAGGAAGAGGACCAGACAGACAGACAUACAGGGUGUAAAGUAAUGGAGGAAGAGGUCCAGACAGACGGACAUACAGGGUGUAAAGUAAUGGAGGAAGAGGACCAGACAGACAGACAUACAGGGUGUAAAGUAAUGGAGGAAGAGGUCCAGACAGACGGACAUACAGGGUGUAAAGUAAUGGAGGAAGAGGUCCAGACAGACGGACAUACAGGGUGUAAAGUAAUGGAGGAAAAGGUCCAGACAGAUGGACAUACAGGGUGUAAAGUAAUGGAGGAAGAGGUCCAGACAGACGGACAUACAGGGUGUAAAGUAAUGGAGGAAAAGGUCCAGACAGAUGGACAUACAGGGUGUAAAGUAAUGGAGGAAAAGGUCCAGACAUACAGGGUGUAAAGUAAUGGAGGAAAAGGUCCAGACAGAUGGACAUACAGGGUGUAAAGUAAUGGAGGAAGAGGUCCAGACAGACGGACAUACAGGGUGUAAAGUAAUGGAGGAAAAGGUCCAGACAGAUGGACAUACAGGGUGUAAAGUAAUGGAGGAAGAGGUCCAGACAGACGGACAUACAGGGUGUAAAGUAAUGGAGGAAAAGGUCCAGACAGAUGGACAUACAGGGUGUAAAGUAAUGGAGGAAGAGGUCCAGACAGACGGACAUACAGGGUGUAAAGUAAUGGAGGAAAAGGUCCAGACAGAUGGACAUACAGGGUGUAAAGUAAUGGAGGAAGAGGUCCAGACAGACGGACAUACAGGGUGUAAAGUAAUGGAGGAAAAGGUCCAGACAGAUGGACAUACAGGGUGUAAAGUAAUGGAGGAAAAGGUCCAAACAGAUGGACAUACAGGGUGUAAAGUAAUGGAGGAAAAGGUCCAGACAGAUGGACAUACAGGGUGUAAAGUAAUGGAGGAAAAGGUCCAGACAUACAGGGUGUAAAGUAAUGGAGGAAAAGGUCCAGACAGAUGGACAUACAGGGUGUAAAGUAAUGGAGGAAAAGGUCCAGAGAGAUGGACAUACAGGGUGUAAAGUAAUGGUGGAAAAGGUUCAGAAGGUGGAUGGAGUCAUGCUCUCUAUUGACAGGUUACAGUGUACUGUAUCUACAUGUAGGGCCGGGCGUCUCAGGAAGCAUCUUUCAAAUAGAUGCGUUAACUAACGUCGAAUGAUUGGGCCGUUUAGGUUAUUCAGUCUAGCGCAGAGUUCAGUAUGAAGUACGGAUGGGUUAGAUUCAAUGGGUUAGAUUCAAUGAACCGAUUGGGGCCUUUGAUUCCAAAAAUGAAGGAAUUGAUUUGGAAGCAUCUACCUAUGAAGAUUGUGAACCAACACCUAAUCCCAAGGGUUGCAUGGGUCACGUUCAUUAAGCAUCAAAUGCAAAGAAACAAAGUGGGACGACAUGGACAAAAAAACAACAUUUGUUUAGUUCUGUUGCAAAACAUUUUAAAACGUUUUCUGUUGCGUGCCCUAAUGAAUGCGAUUGUGAUUGAGCGUUUUGCUCGUUAAGCCUAGUGAAGUGAUUAGUAAAAAUUCUGAUUUGUUUCGGGGUGUCGGCAUUGAUUCCAAAAUUAUGGAUAAUCGACAAAAAAACAAUUAAAGUGAUUUUUCCCAUUGCUAGGAGUUAUUGAUUGGGGGGUUUGGUAGGAUAUUUUAUUGAUCGGGCUCCGUCAACGAAGUGAUUCUGACAAACUGGUGUUGGACUCAUUCCUAGUAUGAAGGUAGUGAGAAAUAAAACAAGGACAGUGCAUUUCAUAGUCACGACAUCCUUUAUCUUGCCUGGUUAAACCUGACUGAAUGCUAAGCCUACCUUUGUUUCCCAGGGAAGCAACCGGGAAAACGUAGAUAAAUACCAGGCUAUCCCUUAUCCGCCAACCUCAAACCUAAAGACUGCAGAGACCAUCAGAGAUAAUAUUUCGUGUCCAGUUUGUGGAGUAAUAUAGAGCUCAGGAAAGUUUGUCAUUCAGUAACUCAGUACUUAUAUAAGCCGCUACGGCUUUACUGUGCGUGGAUACACCUAGAACGUUGGAUAGUUUUACACCUAGAAUGUGGAUAGUUUUACACCUAGAACGUUGGAUAGUUUUACACCUAGAAUGUGGAUAGCUUUACACCUAGAACGUUGGAUAGUUUUACACCUAGAACGUUGGAUAGUUUUACACCUAGAAUGUGGAUAGUUUUACACCUAGAACGUUGGAUAGCUUUACACCUAGAACGUUGGAUAGUUUUACACCUAGAACGUUGGAUAGUUUUACACCUAGAACGUUGGAUAGUUUCACACCUAGAACGUUGGAUAGUUUUACACCUAGAACGUUGGAUAGUUUUACACCUAGAACGUUGGAUAGUUUUACACCUAGAACGUUGGAUAGUUUUACACCUAGAACGUUGGAUAGUUUUCACACCUAGAACGUUGGAUAGUUUUCACACCUAGAACGUUGGAUAGUUUUACACCUAGAACGUUGGAUAGUUUUACACCUAGAACGUUGGAUAGUUUUACACCUAGAACGUUGGAUAGUUUUCACACCUAGAACGUUGGAUAGUUUUACACCUAGAACGUUGGAUAGUUUUACACCUAGAACGUUGGAUAGUUUUACACCUAGAACGUUGGAUAGUUUUACACCUAGAACGUUGGAUAGUUUUACACCUAGAACGUUGGAUAGUUUUAUACCGAGAACGCUCACCUUUUUCUAUCAAAUUGACUGAAUUUAGUGGUGGUGAUAUUUACAAUGUAGAGCUCUACCCUGAUUCACAUAUAUAUAUUUUAUAUACUCCUGUAUUAUACAGACACAGUUCUACUGAAAUAAAACCCAUAUUGAUUCAACAUUUCACUGUAAAUGAUGCAUCGGUUUAGUGGUUGAAUUAUUUCUGUUAAAUUACAAGGAAACAUUGUAUGUACUUUGUUAUUGUAUGUUUAGAGUUGCAAAUAUAAAAAUAAUAAAAUCCUUUAAAAACA